rnacentral:rRNA from 1 species
AGGUCUCCGUUGGUGAACCAGCGGAGGGAUCAUUACCGAGUUUACAACUCCCAAACCCCUGUGAACAUACCUAUACGUUGCCUCGGCGGAUCAGCCCGCGCCCCGUAAAAAGGGACGGCCCGCCCGAGGACCCCUAAACUCUGUUUUUAGUGGAACUUCUGAGUAAAACAAACAAAUAAAUCAAAACUUUCAACAACGGAUCUCUUGGUUCUGGCAUCGAUGAAGAACGCAGCAAAAUGCGAUAAGUAAUGUGAAUUGCAGAAUUCAGUGAAUCAUCGAAUCUUUGAACGCACAUUGCGCCCGCCAGUAUUCUGGCGGGCAUGCCUGUUCGAGCGUCAUUUCAACCCUCAAGCUCAGCUUGGUGUUGGGACUCGCGGUAACCCGCGUUCCCCAAAUCGAUUGGCGGUCACGUCGAGCUUCCAUAGCGUAGUAAUCAUACACCUCGUUACUGGUAAUCGUCGCGGCCACGCCGUAAAACCCCAACUUCUGAAUGUUGACCUCGGAUCAGGUAGGAAUACCCGCUGAACUUAAGCAUAUCAAUA